rnacentral:rRNA from 1 species
UACGUAGGGGGCAAGCGUUGUCCGGAAUCAUUGGGCGUAAAGCGCGCGUAGGCGGCCCUGUAAGUCCGUUGUGAAAGUCAAAGGCUCAACCUUUGAAAGCCGAUGGAUACUGCAGGGCUAGAGUCCGGAAGAGGCGAGUGGAAUUCCUGGUGUAGCGGUGAAAUGCGCAGAUAUCAGGAGGAACACCGGUGGCGAAGGCGGGUCUCUGGGCAGUAACUGACGCUGAGGAGCGAAAGCGUGGGGAGCGAACAGG